rnacentral:tRNA from 1 species
CGCGCGCCGGCGCGGCGCCAAUCAGGCGUGGUUCGAGUUCAUGCCGGCCGAUGUACCGUUCGAUGCGGCGGCGAGCGGC